rnacentral:rRNA from 1 species
AUGGCCUACGGGGCGCAGCAGUAGGGAAUCUUCCACAAUGGACGAAAGUCUGAUGGAGCAACGCCGCGUGAGUGAAGAAGGGUUUCGGCUCGUAAAGCUCUGUUGGUAGUGAAGAAAGAUAGAGGUAGUAACUGGCCUUUAUUUGACGGUAAUUACUUAGAAAGUCACGGCUAACUACGUUCCAGCAGCCGCGGUAAUACGUAGGUGGCAAGCGUUUUCCGGAUUUAUUUGGCGUAAAGCGAGUGCAGGCGGUUCAAUAAAGUUUAU